ensembl:lncRNA
AAGCCUGUCUGGGAUUCUGUUCCACGCAGAGGUUGGAAAGAGCAGCGCGGCUGCCUCUGGAAAUCUUGUUUCCCCUGCCACAUGACAUCAGUGGGUUAUAUUGCAACUUUCCACAUGGCUGCCCAGACACAGACAGUUGUGUUUAUGAAAAUCCUCCUGAUACCAGCUUGGAGCCUCCCUGGCACUCAAGGCUCCUUCUCAGGCUGCGAUGUGUUCUGCUUAGAGGAGCAGCUGACAAAGGGCAGGUUGGAAGGGAGUCUGCCCUCCAAGCCAUAGAGGUGGCACCCCUGCUACUCCCUUUCGGGAAGCUCCUAGGGGCCUCUCAUCUCUGGUGUCGGAAACGUCAUAAUCAUACGCCUUGGACCUUUAGUGACUCUACAAUCUGGAAACCAACGUAUCUCAGACUGGAAGCUCCAGGAGGCCAGGGACUGAAUGCUUAUCUUGGUUGCUGCUUUGCUCCUGGAUCCAACACAUAGUCCAAUCAUGUGCCUCAUGACUACAUUUCCGUCAAUGACGAACCGCGUAUGUGGUGAUGCUCCCAUAAGAUUAGUACCAUAUAGCCUAGGUGUGUAGAAGGCUAUGCCACCCAAGUUUGUGAAGAUUAGCCCUGAGCUAACUGCUGCCAAUCCUCCUCUUUUUGCUGAAGAAGACUGGCCCUGAGCCAACAUCUGUGCCCAUCUUCCUCUACUUUGUAUGUGGGACACCUACCACAGCAUGGCUUGCCAAGUGGUGCCACAUCCACACCCGGGAUCCGAAUCAGCAAACCCCAGGCUGCCGAAGCGGAACGUGCGCACUUAACUUCUGCCCCACUGGGCCAACCCCCAGUUGUUUGUAAUAUGCCUUUAUUAUUCAUUGAUAUAUGUGGAAUCUGUAUGGUUGCCAUGUCUCUCGUUACUUAUAUUGGUAAUUUGUGUCUUCUCUCUGUUUUUGCUGAUCAGCCUGGCUAAAAGUUUGUCAAUCCUAUCGAUAUUCUCAAAGAACUAACUUUUGAUUUCAUUGAUUUUUCUCUAUUGUUUUCUAUUUCAUUGAUUUCUGUUCUAAUCUUUAUUAGUAUCAGAACACUUUACUUUGCGCUUAAUUUGCUCUUUGUUUUCAAGCUUCUUAAGGCAGAAGCUUAGGUCUUUGAUUUGAUGCUUUAGUCUUUUCUUCUUUUCUAAUAUGGGCGUCUAGUGUUCUGAGUCCUCCUCCCCGUCAUUCUACCAGCCUAGUACUGCUUGAGCGACUUCCCACAAUUUUGAUUAGGUUGUGCUUCAUUAUUACUCAGUUCAAAAUACUUCCUAAUUUUCUUUUUGAUUUCUUCUGUGAUCCAGGGGUUAUUUAAAAGUGUGUUAUUUUGUUUCCAAAUAUUUGUGAGUUUUCCAGGGAUGUCGCUGUUAUUAAUCUCUAAUGUAAUCCAAUUCAAUUGAGAAAAUAUAUGUCAUGUGACUUGAGCUCUGUACAUUUAGUGAGACUUGUUUGUGAUACAGAAUAUGUUCCAUCUUGUGAAACGUUCUUUGUGCACUUGAACAAAUUUGCAUUCUGCUAUUGUUGGCUGGAGUGUUCUAUAGUGUCAAUUAGGUCAAUUUGUUUGAUAGCACUGUUGAAGUCUUCUAUCUCUGUAAUGAUUUUCUGUCUACUUGUUCUAUCAAUUACUGAGAAAGGAGUAUUUUUGGUCUCUAACUAUAAUUGUGGAUUUGCUCAUUUUUCCUUGUAGUUCUGUCAGUUUUUGCUUUAUGUCAUUAGAAGCUCUGUUAUUAGGUACAAAAAUAUUUAGGAUGGUUAUGUCCUCUUGAUGAGUUGACUCCCUUUUCAUUAUGAAAUAACCUUUUAAAAAAAUACCUAGUAAUAUUCUUUGAACUGAAAUCUGCUUUGCAUGACAUCAAUAUAGCCACUCAAACUUUCUUUUUUAUAGCUUUAUUGAGAUAUAAGUUAAACAGCAUAAAUUCACCCAAGUGUAUAAUUCCACAAUUUUUAGCAUAUUUACAGAGUUAUGCAACCACCACCACAAUCUAAUUUUUAGGACAUUUUCAUUACCCCCAAAAGAAGCUUCAAAUUCAUUAGCAAUUACUCUCAUUCACUCUCUUCCUUUAGCUUUAGGCAACCAUUUUCAACUUUUAUAUAUUUGCCUGUUCUGGACAUUUCGUAUAAAUGGAAUCAAAGAAUGUAUGGUCUUUGUAUUUCGGGUUUUAAAAAUUACUUUUAAUUAAAAUUUUUAUUUUGAAACAAUUGUAGAUUCACAUGCAGUUAUAAGAAAUAGUACAGAGAAAGCACAUCCCCCAAUGGUAACAUUUUGCAAAAUGGUAGUACAGUAUCACAAUCGAGAUAUGCACAUUGAUCCAAUCAAGAUACAGAACAUUUCUAUCACCACAAGGAUCCUUCCUGUUGCCCUUUUAUAGCCGUCCCCAUCUCCCAGCCAUCCCCUCCUUAACUUUUGGCAACCACUUGUCCAUUCUCCAUUUCUAUAAUUUUGUCAUUUCAAGAAUGUUAUAUGAAUGGAAUCAUGCAGUAUGUAAACUUUUGGGAUUGGGUUUUUUCACUCACCAUAAUUCUUUGCAGAUGGCUGUAGGUUGUUGCAUGUAGGAAUAAAUUUGUUCCUUUUUAUGGCUAAGUAAUAUUCCAUGGUGUGGAUGCACUACACUUGUUUAACCAUUCAUCCAUUGAAACACAUCUUGGUUGUUUCCACUUUUUGACUAUUAUGAAUAAAAUUG